GAUGAACGCUGGCGGCGUGCCUAAUACAUGCAAGUCGAGCGAACAGACGAGGAGCUUUCUCGUCUGACUGUAUAGGCGGAGGGGUGAUUAACACGGGGUUAACCUACCUCUACGACUGGGAUAACUACGGCAAACAAGAGCUACGACCGGAUGAUAUAUUGAAUCGCAUGGUUCAAUAGUUGGAGAAGGUUUUUCUUUCACUUAUAGAUGGAUCCGCGCCGCAUUAGCUAGUUGGUAAGGUAACGGCUUACCAAGGCGACGAUGCGUAGCCGCCCUGAGAGGGAGAUCGCACACACGGGCAGUGAGGCACGGCCCAGACUCCUACGCGAGGAAGCAGUAGGGACUCCUCCGGAAUGGGGGAAAGCCUAACGGAGCAACGCCGCGUGAGUGCUGAAGGUCUUAGGCUCGUAGAACUAUGUUAUUAGGGAAGAAGAAAUGUGUAAGUACCUAUGCACGUAUUGACGGUACCUAAUCAGAAAGCCACGGCUAACUACGUG
rnacentral:rRNA from 1 species